rnacentral:rRNA from 1 species
CCUACGGGAUGCAGCAGUCGAGAAUCAUUCACAAUGGGGGAAACCCUGAUGGUGCGACGCCGCGUGGGGGAAUGAAGGUCUUCGGAUUGUAAACCCCUGUCAUGUGGGAGCAAAUUAAAAAGAUAGUACCACAAGAGGAAGAGACGGCUAACUCUGUGCCAGCAGCCGCGGUAAUACAGAGGUCUCAAGCGUUGUUCGGAAUCACUGGGCGUAACGCGUGCGUAGGCUGUUUCGUAAGUCGUGUGUGAAAGGCGCGGGCUCAACCCGCGGACGGAACAUGAUACGGCGAGACUAGAGUAAUGGAGGGGGAACCGGAAUUCUCGGUGUAGCAGUGAAAUGCGUAGAUAUCGAGAGGAACACUCGUGGCGAAGGCGGGUUCCUGGACAUUAACUGACGCUGAGGCACGAAGGCCAGGGGAGCGAAAGGGAUUAGAUACCCCAGUAGUC